UAUGUUGCGAUAUCUGUUAUAAGAUAGAAAUUGCGAACUCUCGAGAUUAUAUGAUUCUGGAAAUACUACGUAUGUCUCGCUAAAGCCACAUAGCGACCAAAAAGAGUGCAUCCAAUGGAAUACGAGUUCGCAAAUAGUUGGCUACCGAUAUGUCUGUGAUGUAACCUUGGACUUGAUACGAGCUGAAAAACAUCGCAUAGCAAAGAAAAAAGGGACAGAUCGGAUAAAAAGUCAGCUGUGCGAGCGAAGGUUGAACGAAGAGGAAGAGGUUCGCACGAGACUCGGUCGUCUUACGCAGAAUAGAGUCGCAUCUUCGAUAAAUUCGUGACAAUCUCGCGAAAAGAAGAUAGAAAGAAUCCAGGUGGCAACCGAAAACUUUUCUCUGCAUCUCGUGGACGUAGAGGAACGGCGGAAUAGCGGACGCGUGAAACGGGGAGAAGGGGCCGCGAGGAGAGCGGUGAUUGGUCGAGCCGGGAGGAGAGGCUCCCACGACGGCGAGCAGAUUCCGCGUUCGCGCUACGCCGCGCCACUUCGUCGCCGACUCGCGCACCGUACGUACGUCGUCAUAGGAUCAAAAGUGCGCCUCUCGAUCGCCCUCCGAUCUCUUGCUGUCGUCAUCGCCCGUGCAUCGUCGAG